rnacentral:rRNA from 1 species
CAGCAGCCGCGGGAACACGAAGGGGGCUAGCGUUGCUCGGAAUUACUGGGCGUAAAGGGCGCGUAGGCGGGUCGUUAAGUUGGGGGUGAAAGCCCAGGGCUCAACCCUGGAAUUGCCUUCAAUACUGGCGACCUAGAGUAUGAGAGAGGUGUGUGGAACUCCGAGUGUAGAGGUGAAAUUCGUAGAUAUUCGGAAGAACACCAGUGGCGAAGGCGACACACUGGCUCAUUACUGACGCUGAGGCGCGAAAGCGUGGGGAGCAAACAGGAUUAGAUACCCGCGUAGUCCCUGUCUCUUAUAC